GAAAGCUACGUGGUCAUGGUAGAGAACUCGUGUACCAAUGAUUGCACCUUACCGUAGUACCUCCUACACUUGAGCAGGCGUCCCACAUAUGUAAGUGUUAAGUGGACCAGUACCUGCUGGAGGUAGUCAGAGUGGAAGAAGCUGUAAGAUUGCUCCUACUCUGGUAAAAUCCACGUCCCCUUUCCAACCCUCCAUGGUCCGGUUGUAAAAUAAGGAUACUAUGUUGAAACUGUUUUCCCAAGACAGUAUAAUCGUUUGGGAGGUAGUAUUUGAUAUCAUUCAAGUCUGCCAGGGAAGGUGAGGGAUGUCACGCAUUCUCUUGGUUAAAUGUAUUGCAUUUUCCAAGUAACAAGACUCAAACCUUGGUGCGUGCCCCUUCUGUCCCUGUCAGAUGGACGACGUAGAGAACGGUCCAUGAAUGCUAUCGACACCAGGAAGCUGCCUCUAUAGGACAACACAGUUCACAUGAUAACCGUUGGUAUGCGGUGUGUUGGCUCUUUUGUAGAGGAGAUGUAAUGCCUGGCCCUUUGUGAACAAGGGGGUUUUGGAUGGCGGUUGGCUUACAACUCCCCUGCCAGAACCUAUUAAUAGCUAUAAAGCAAUUAAUUGCUACCC
rnacentral:misc_RNA from 1 species